rnacentral:rRNA from 1 species
UACGAAGGGGGCUAGCGUUGUUCGGAAUCACUGGGCGUAAAGCGUACGUAGGCGGACCAUUAAGUCGGGGUGAAAUCCCAGGGCUCAACCCUGGAACUGCCUUCGAUACUGGUGGUCUGGAGUCCGGGAGAGGUGAGUGGAACUCCUAGUGUAGAGGUGAAAUUCGUAGAUAUUAGGAAGAACACCAGUGGCGAAGGCGGCUCACGUG